rnacentral:rRNA from 1 species
UACGGGGGGGGCAAGCGUUGUUCGGAAUUACUGGGCGUAAAGGGCUCGUAGGCGGCCAACUAAGUCGGAUGUGAAAUCCCCAGGCUUAACCUGGGAACUGCAUCCGAUACUGGAUGGCUUGAAUCCGGGAGAGGGAUGCGGAAUUCCAGGUGUAGCGGUGAAAUGCGCAGAUAUCAGGAGGAACACCGGUGGCGAAGGCGGAUUCUCUGGGCCUUACCUGACGCUGAGGAGCGAAAGCGUGGGGAGCAAACAGG